rnacentral:rRNA from 1 species
CCUACGGGGGGCUGCAGUGAGGAAUAUUGGUCAAUGGGCGGAAGCCUGAACCAGCCAAGUAGCGUGCAGGAUGACGGCCCUACGGGUUGUAAACUGCUUUUAUACGGGAAUAACGCGCCUUACGUGUACGGCUUUGCAUGUACCGUAUGAAUAAGGACUGGCUAAUUCCGUGCCAGCAGCCGCGGUAAUACGGAAGGUCCGGGCGUUAUCCGGAUUUAUUGGGUUUAAAGGGAGCGUAGGUCGGCUGUCAAGCGUGCUGUGAAAUGUCGGGGCUCAACCCGGGCCUUGCAGCGCGAACUGGCGGGCUUGAGUCCGCGGAAGGCAGGCGGAAUUCGUCGUGUAGCGGUGAAAUGCUUAGAUAUGACGAAGAACCCCGAUUGCGAAGGCAGCUUGCUACAGCGGAACUGACGCUGAUGCUCGAAAGCGCGGGUAUCGAACAGGAUUAGAUACCCUUGUAGUC